GACGAACGCUGGCGGCGUGCUUAACACAUGCAAGUCGAACGGAAAGGCCCUGCUUUUGUGGGGUGCUCGAGUGGCGAACGGGUGAGUAACACGUGAGUAACCUGCCCUUGACUUUGGGAUAACUUCAGGAAACUGGGGCUAAUACCGGAUAGGAGCUCCUGCUGCAUGGUGGGGGUUGGAAAGUUUCGGCGGUUGGGGAUGGACUCGCGGCUUAUCAGCUUGUUGGUGGGGUAGUGGCUUACCAAGGCUUUGACGGGUAGCCGGCCUGAGAGGGUGACCGGCCACAUUGGGACUGAGAUACGGCCCAGACUCCUACGGGAGGCAGCAGUGGGGAAUAUUGCACUAUGGGCGGAAGCCUGAUGCAGCAACGCCGCGUGCGGGAUGACGGCCUUCGGGUUGUAAACCGCUUUCGCCUGUGACGAAGCGUGAGUGACGGUAAUGGGUAAAGAAGCACCGGCUAACCACGUG
rnacentral:rRNA from 1 species